AUUGAACGCUGGCGGCAGGCCUAACACAUGCAAGUCGAGCGGAUGAAGGGAGCUUGCUCCUGGAUUCAGCGGCGGACGGGUGAGUAAUGCCUAGGAAUCUGCCUGGUAGUGGGGGAUAACGUCCGGAAACGGGCGCUAAUACCGCAUACGUCCUGAGGGAGAAAGUGGGGGAUCUUCGGACCUCACGCUAUCAGAUGAGCCUAGGUCGGAUUAGCUAGUUGGUGGGGUAAAGGCCUACCAAGGCGACGAUCCGUAACUGGUCUGAGAGGAUGAUCAGUCACACGGGAACUGAGACACGGUCCAGACUCCUACGGGAGGCAGCAGUGGGGAAUAUUGGACAAUGGGCGAAAGCCUGAUCCAGCCAUGCCGCGUGUGUGAAGAAGGUCUUCGGAUUGUAAAGCACUUUAAGUUGGGAGGAAGGGCAGUAAGUUAAUACCUUGCUGUUUUGACGGUACCAACAGAAUAAGCACCGGCUAACUACGUG
rnacentral:rRNA from 1 species